AUUGAACGCUGGCGGCAGGCCUAACACAUGCAAGUCGAACGGUAACAGAAAGCAGCUUGCUGCUUUGCUGACGAGUGGCGGACGGGUGAGUAAUGUCUGGGAAACUGCCUGAUGGAGGGGGAUAACUACUGGAAACGGUAGCUAAUACCGCAUAACGUCGCAAGACCAAAGAGGGGGACCUUCGGGCCUCUUGCCAUCGGAUGUGCCCGGAUGGGAUUAGCUUGUUGGUGGGGUAACGGCUCACCAAGGCGACGAUCCCUAGCUGGUCUGAGAGGAUGACCAGCCACACUGGAACUGAGACACGGUCCAGACUCCUACGGGAGGCAGCAGUGGGGAAUAUUGCACAAUGGGCGCAAGCCUGAUGCAGCCAUGCCGCGUGUAUGAAGAAGGCCUUCGGGUUGUAAAGUACUUUCAGCGGGGAGGAAGGGAGUAAAGUUAAUACCUUUGCUCAUUGACGUUACCCGCAGAAGAAGCACCGGCUAACUCCGUGCCAGCCGCCGCCGUAACAC
rnacentral:rRNA from 1 species